AUAUUAUUGAUUAUUGAUCGGGUUCGUUCGACAGAUGAGAGUUGUCUGUCGCGUAUUGUGAGGGCAGGUAACUAUGGGAAAGGGUUGUAAGGUUGUGGUUUGUGGUAUGGCAGCUGUGGGGAAAACAGCCAUACUGGAGCAGUUACUGUACGGCAAUCACACUGUAGGUGCAGAAAACAGUGACACUCAGGAGGAUAUAUACGUGGCAUCUGUCGAGACGGAUCGUGGCGUGAGGGAGCAGUUACGCCUUUAUGACACAAGAGGACUUCGUGAUGGUCUGGAUUUACCCAAACACUUCUUUUCUGUGGCUGACGGUUUUGUGCUGGUCUACAGUGUGGACAGUCUGGAGUCUUUCAAGAAAGUCGAGCUCUUGAAGAAGGAGAUAGACAAGUCCAGAGACAAAAAAGAUGUGAUAGUGAUCGUGUUGGGUAAUAAGUGCGACCUGCGGGAGUGUCGUCAGGUGGAUCAGGAGGCGGCGCAGCAGUGGGCGCGCGGGGAGAAGGUCAAACUGUGGGAGAGCUGACAUGUGAAACCAUGGGAGACUGACUUUGAUGAUCUAGCAAGCCAGUUAUCUACAAAUGAACCAAAAAGCAAUAAGUUCUCUCCAGCAGCAACAGGCUCGACUCAAGACCCGGUCUCCUCUGAAGCCUAUGACAUGGUCUGCUUCCAGUGGUGGAAUGUAACUAAGUACAUUUCCUCAAGUACUGUACUUAAGUACAAAUUUGAGGUACUUUCCAUUUAAUGCAACUUUAUACUUUUACUCCACUACAUUUGUCUGACAGCUUUAGUUACUACAGUAGUUUUCAGUUUACAGUUUUUCAUACCCUUCCUGUCAAGUGAAAACCAUGUAUCUCCAAAUGUGGUGAUUAUGAAUGUUUGUGAUAAACUGAAAGAUUAAGUGUUCCUUUAUGGGUUGAGAAAAUUCUCUUACUUCUUAAGAUAAAUCAACUAUUUUAAACCCGCCUUGGAUUAGCUAGAAAACGCAUUGUCUCAAAAAUGAAAACGGCUGUUUUUCUGAGAUCAUGAAAAGUUGACUUUUUAGAUAUGUGUUUCUCACAGGACAAGCAACACUACAAACAUAUGAUGAUAGAAUAUGAUGCAUUGCUGUAGAUUAAACUACCCAACAGUAUAUAAAGUAGUUAAAAUUAGCUCAACCUUAAACAUCUACUGCAGUAAAAUGCAACAUACACAUUAAUGCAGCAGUAAUAUUAAUCCAAAAACAUAAUAUUUAAUAGUAAAACACUGACAGGGAAAAUUCUUCUGCAGAGUAAGAACUUUUGGAACUUAAAGUAAAUUUUGCUGAUAAUACUUACAUUUACUUGCAUUACAUUUACAUGCAGGACUUUUACUUGUAGUGGAGUAUUUUCACAGUGUGAUAUUAGUACUUUAGUACUUAAGUAAAAGAUCUGAAUACAUCUUCCACCACUGUCUGCUUCUGGCGGUAGAAUGCCCUCACCCAAAAAUUCAAGUAACUGUAGCAUUACUUGUGGCAUGGAGUUUGAAUGUUUUUGCCAUCAUUGUAUGGAUAAGAAUGUGACUCUGUGGUUCUUGCAUGUGUGUCUGGAGAUGUUUUGAGCAGUCAUCAUCCAGUGAAGUUUAUUGAGCGCUCACGGCCAGGUGUCCAGAUCUCCUUUUCUUCCUACUGUUGCGGUGAAAGAAUGCAAUGGCUAUUUUGAACACUUUUAGGCCUUUCAUGGCCUGCUUUCUGCCAGCAUUCUCUCCCUGUAGGUGGUCAAAUGAGUUUCUAUGAAGACUGCCAAUUCAAGGAAAAACUUAUCUACCCUCUUCCUGGAUGUAUUAUAUAAUAAA